rnacentral:rRNA from 1 species
UACGAAGGGGGCUAGCGUUGCUCGGAAUUACUGGGCGUAAGGCGCAUGUAGGCGGCAGCGCAAGUCGGGCGUGAAAUCCCACGGCUCAACCGUGGAAGUGCACUCGAAACUGCGCAGCUAGAGUCCUGGAGAGGAAGGUGGAAUGCUUGGUGUAGAGGUGAAAUUCGUAGAUAUCAAGCGGAACACCGGUGGCGAAGGCGGCCUUCUGGACAGUGACUGACGCUGAGAUGCGAAAGCGUGGGGAGCAAACAGG